UUGACCUCGAAUCAGGUAGGAAUACCCGCUGAACUUAAGCAUAUCAAUAAGCGGAGGAAAAGAAACCAACAGGGAUUGCCUUAGUAACGGCGAGUGAAGCGGCAACAGCUCAAAUUUGAAAUCUGGCCUUCUGGUCCGAGUUGUAAUUUGCAGAGGAUGCUUCGGGCGCGGUGCCUUCCAAGUCCCCUGGAACGGGGCGCCGGAGAGGGUGAGAGCCCCGUACGGUUGGCGGCCAAGCCUGUGUGAAGCUCCUUCGACGAGUCGAGUAGUUUGGGAAUGCUGCUCUAAGCGGGAGGUAGACCCCUUCUAAAGCUAAAUACCGGCCAGAGACCGAUAGCGCACAAGUAGAGUGAUCGAAAGAUGAAAAGCACUUUGAAAAGAGGGUUAAACAGCACGUGAAAUUGUUGAAAGGGAAGCGCUUGUGACCAGACGUGCGCCGGGGUGUUCAGCGGGCGUUCUCGCCCGUGCACUCGCCUCGGCGCAGGCCAGCGUCGGUUUGGGUGGGGGGAUAAAGGCGUCUGGAAUGUGGCUCCUCCGGGAGUGUUAUAGCCAGACGUGCCAUGCCUCCGCCUGGACCGAGGUACGCGUUCUGCAAGGACGCUGGCGUAAUGGUCUCCAGCGACCCGUCUUGAAACACGGACCAAGGAGUCGAGGUUUUGCGCGAGUGUUUGGGUGGAAAACCCGCACGCGUAAUGAAAGUGAACGUAGGUGAGAGCUUCGGCGCAUCACCGACCGAUCCUGAUGUUUUCGGAUGGAUUUGAGUAAGAGCGUAGGGCCUCGGACCCGAAAGAUGGUGAACUAUGCUUGGAUAGGGUGAAGCCAGAGGAAACUCUGGUGGAGGCUCGCAGCGGUUCUGACGUGCAAAUCGAUCGUCAAAUCUGAGCAUGGGGGCGAAAGACUAAUCGAACCAUCUAGUAGCUGGUUACCGCCGAAGUUUCCCUCAGGAUAGCAGUGUUGUUCUUCAGUUUUAUGAGGUAAAGCGAAUGAUUAGGGACUCGGGGGCGCUAUUUAGCCUUCAUCCAUUCUCAAACUUUAAAUAUGUAAGAAGCCCUUGUUGCUUAAUUGAACGUGGGCAUUCGAAUGUAUCAACACUAGUGGGCCAUUUUUGGUAAGCAGAACUGGCGAUGUGGGAUGAACCAUACGGGGGGUUAAGGUGCCAGAGUAGACGCUCAUCAGACACCACAAAAGGCGUUAGCACAUCUUGACAGCAGGACGGUGGCCAUGGAAGUCGGAAUCCGCUAAGGACUGUGUAACAACUCACCUGCCGAAUGUGCUAGCCCUGAAAAUGGAUGGCGCUCAAGCGUCUCACCCAUACCCCCCCCUCAGGGUAGAAACGAUGCCCUGAGGAGUAGGCGGCCGCAGUGCUGUGUGACGAAGGCUAGGGC
rnacentral:rRNA from 1 species